rnacentral:rRNA from 1 species
AUGAACGCUGGCGGCGUGCCUAAUACAUGCAAGUCGAGCGAACGGACGAGAAGCUUGCUUCUCUGAUGUUAGCGGCGGACGGGUGAGUAACACGUGGAUAACCUACCUAUAAGACUGGGAUAACUUCGGGAAACGGAGGUAAAUCCGGAUAAUAUUUUUAACCGCAUGGUUUAAAAGUGAAAAACGGGCUUGCUGUCACCUAUAGGUGGGACCGCGCUGCAUUAGCUAGUUGGUAAGGUAACGGCUUACCAAGGCAACGAUGCAUAGCCGACCUGAGAGGGUGAUCGGCCACACUGGAACUGAGACACGGUCCAGACUCCUACGGGAGGCAGCAGUAGGGAAUCUUCCGCAAUGGGCGAAAGCCUGACGGAGCAACGCCGCGUGAGUGAUGAAGGUCUUCGGAUCGUAAAACUCUGUUAUUAGGGAAGAACAUAUGUGUAAGUAACUGUGCACAUCUUGACGGUACCUAAUCAGAAAGCCACGGCUAACUACGUG